rnacentral:rRNA from 2 species
UUCUGAAUAUUGAAAGGUGCUUGCAUCUUGAUUUAAUUUUGAACGAGUGGCGGACGGGUGAGUAACACGUGGGUAACCUGCCCUUAAGUGGGGGAUAACAUUUGGAAACAGAUGCUAAUACCGCAUAAAUCCAAGAACCGCAUGGUUCUUGGCUGAAAGAUGGCGUAAGCUAUCGCUUUUGGAUGGACCCGCGGCGUAUUAGCUAGUUGGUGAGGUAACGGCUCACCAAGGCAAUGAUACGUAGCCGAACUGAGAGGUUGAUCGGCCACAUUGGGACUGAGACACGGCCCAAACUCCUACGGGAGGCAGCAGUAGGGAAUCUUCCACAAUGGACGCAAGUCUGAUGGAGCAACGCCGCGUGAGUGAAGAAGGCUUUCGGGUCGUAAAACUCUGUUGUUGGAGAAGAAUGGUCGGCAGAGUAACUGUUGUCGGCGUGACGGUAUCCAACCAGAAAGCCACGGCUAAUUACGUGCCAGCAGCCGCGGUAAUACGUAGGUGGCAAGCGUAAUCCGGAUUUAUUGGGCGUAAAGCGAGCGCAGGCGGUUUUUUAAGUCGAUGUGAAAGCCCUCGGCUUAACCGAGGAAGUGCAUCGGAAACUGGGAAACUUGAGUGCAGAAGAGGACAGUGGAACUCCAUGUGUAGCGGUGAAAUGCGUAGAUAUAUGCAAGAACACCAGUGGCGAAGGCGGCUGUCUGGUCUGUAACUGACGCUGAGGCUCGAAAGCAUGGGUAGCGAACAGGAUUAGAUACCCUGGUAGUCCAUGCCGUAAACGAUGAAUGCUAGGUGUUGGAGGGUUUCCGCCCUUCAGUGCCGCAGCUAACGCAUUAAGCAUUUCGCCUGGGCGGUACGAGCGCAACAAUGAAACUCAAAGCGAAUUGACGGGGGCCCGAACAAGCGGUGGAGCAUGUGGUUUAAUUCGAAGCAACGCGAAGAACCUUACCAGGUCUUGACAUCUUUUGAUCACCUGAGAGAUCAGGUUUCCCCUUCGGGGGCAAAAUGACAGGUGGUGCAUGGUUGUCGUCAGCUCGUGUCGUGAGAUGUUGGGUUAAGUCCCGCAACGAGCGCAACCCUUAUGACUAGUUGCCAGCAUUUAGUUGGGCACUCUAGUAAGACUGCCGGUGACAAACCGGAGGAAGGUGGGGAUGACGUCAAAUCAUCAUGCCCCUUAUGACCUGGGCUACACACGUGCUACAAUGGAUGGUACAACGAGUUGCGAGGCCGCGAGGUCAAGCUAAUCUCUUAAAGCCAUUCUCAGUUCGGACUGUAGGCUGCAACUCGCCUACACGAAGUCGGAAUCGCUCGUAAUCGCGGAUCAGCACGCCGCGGUGAAUACGUUCCCGGGCCUUGUACACACCGCCCGUCACACCAUGAGAGUUUGUAACACCGAAUCCGGUGUAGUAGC